rnacentral:lncRNA from 1 species
GAGGAGGAUGUGACGCCCAAUCACACCUGCAGUAGAAACACAGCUGUGAUACUGUUCUUAAUAUUCAGGGAGGAAGACGAUGAUAUUACUCCCAAAACAGACGGCUGUACACCCUCUGCACACCGAGGGUCUACCCCCAUCUGUGAAAUAGUUUAUAAUUUCCAGAGGGGGAGAUGAUAUCACUCCGAAUAUCGUAAACAGGCUGCUUCGGUAGAUUGCAAAUGACCUGCUUUCUUUCGGAUCCCGGGCUGCUUUCGGACACCUGUCGAAUAGUAAAUCCCAAGUAAGGUACCUGCGGUCGUCGGCAGAUCUGAAUUUUCUUCUUGGACACCUAAUACCCACAGCCCUCCAGAGACCGAGAGGUUGAUGUCACUCCCAAUAUCGGAGGAAGUAUACACCCCCGUGUGAGAUGGUCCUUAAUAAUAUUCCACGGCGGAGGGGGUGAUAUGACUACAUACAUGGCAGAAAGUGGAAACCUCCCAGGGAUAUUGUUCCCACGAUCCUGGAGGGAAGAAGAUGAUGUUACUUUCAAUAUGACAGAAGGUGGAUGAAGUGGUGGACUGCCCCUCCACACCUGUGGACACGCCCCCACUGAUAUUCCUUCUAAUUGCAGCGUGGGAGAGGAGGAUAUGACACGCGAUAUCGCAGGGAGUAGAAACACCCCUGUGAUACUGUUCUUAAUAUUCAGGGAGGAAGAGGAUGAUAUUACUCCCAAUACAGACGGGUGUACACCCUCUGUACACCGAGGGUGUACACCUGUCUGUGAAAGAAUGGACACGCCCCCACUGAUAUUGUUUUUAAUGCAGCGUGGGAGGGGAGGAUAUGACACGCGAUAUCGCAGCUGAGUGCCACGUGCUGACGUCACUAAGAUCAAUACAGCAAACUCUGAAAGAUGGACAGAGAGACAGGAGAUGGUCCUUUAUAAUGCAGUGUGAUCUGUGCUGCAAUAGAGUUUUGGAAGCUAGAAGUUCAAAACGAGGUGUUGGCAGCACCAUGCUCUCUCUGAAGAUGCUAGGAAGAAUCUGCUCCAUGCCUUUCCAUUCGCUCCUGGGGUUUCCUGCAAGCCCUGACAUUCCUUGGCUUGUAGAUGCAUCACCCCAGUUUCCGCCCCCAUCAUCACAUGGCCUCCUCUCUGUGUGUGCCUCUGCGUUCCCUCUAUUCUUCUUCUAAGGACACCGACACCAGUCAUAGUGGAUUAAGGGUCCACUCCUAACCAAUUACAUCUGCAACAACCCUAUUUCCAAAUAAAGUCACAUUCUAAGA